rnacentral:rRNA from 1 species
GAUGAACGCUAGCGGCAGGCCUAAUACAUGCAAGUCGAACGGGAUCCAGAUCAAAGCUUGCUUUUGUCUGGUGAGAUUGGCGCACUGGUGCGUAACGCGUUAGCAACCUACCCUUGUCAGUGGGAUAGCCCGGCGAAAGUCGGAUUAAUACCGCAUGACAUCAUUGAGAGGCAUCUUUCGAUGAUCAAAGAUUUAUCGUACAAGGAUGGUCUCGCGUGACAUUAGCUAGUUGGUAAGGUAACGGCUUACCAAGGCUGCGAUGUCUAGGGGCUCUGAGAGGAGAAUCCCCCAAACUGGUACUGAGACACGGACCAGACUCCUACGGGAGGCAGAAGUAAGGAAUAUUGGUCAAUGGAAGGAAGUCUGAACCAGCCAUGCCGCGUGCAGGAAGACGGCCCUAUGGGUUGUAAACUGAUUUUAUACGGGAACAAACGUCGGUACGUGUACCGGUCUGAGUGUACCGAAAGAAUAAGGAUCGGAUAACUCCGUG